rnacentral:rRNA from 1 species
AUUGUACGCUGGCGGCAGGCCUCACACAUGCAAGUCGAGCGGAGCGGCGGACGGGUGAGUAAUGCCUGGGAAUCUGCCUGGUAGUGGGGGAUAACGUCCGGAAACGGGCGCUAAUACCGCAUACUAUCAGAUGAGCCUAGGUCGGAUUAGCUAGUUGGUGGGGUAAAGGCCUACCAAGGCCACGAUCCGUAACUGGUCUGAGAGGAUGAUCAGUCAGACUGGAAAUGAGACACGGUCCAGACUCCUACGGGAGGCAGCAGUGGGGAAUAUUGCGCAAUGGGGGCAACCCGGACGCAGCCAUGCCGCGUGAAUGAAGAAGGCCUUCGGGUUGUAAAGUUCUUUCGGUAGCGAGGCUUUCACUACAGAAGAAGCACCGGCUAACUCCGUGCCAGCAGCCGCGGUAAUAC